rnacentral:rRNA from 1 species
AACGAACGCUGGCGGCAUGCCUAACACAUGCAAGUCGAACGAGACCUUCGGGUCUAGUGGCGCACGGGUGAGUAACGCGUGGGAACCUGCCCUUAGGUUCGGAAUAACUCCCCGAAAGGGGUGCUAAUACCGGAUAAUGUCUUCGGACCAAAGAUUUAUCGCCUUUGGAUGGGCCCGCGUUGGAUUAGCUAGUUGGUAGGGUAAAAGCCUACCAAGGCGACGAUCCAUAGCUGGUCUGAGACGAUGAUCAGCCACACUGGGACUGAGACACGGCCCAGACUCCUACGGGAGGCAGCAGUGGGGAAUAUUGGACAAUGGGCGAAAGCCUGAUCCAGCAAUGCCGCGUGAGUGAUGAAGGCCUUAGGGUUGUAAAGCUCUUUUACCCGGGAUGAUAAUGACAUUACCGGGAGAAUAAGCUCCGGCUAACUCCGUG